rnacentral:rRNA from 1 species
GACGAACGCUGGCGGCGUGCUUAACACAUGCAAGUCGAACGAGUGGCGAACGGGUGAGUAAUGUCUGGGAAACUGCCUGAUGGAGGGGGAUAACUACUGGAAACGGUAGCUAAUACCGCAUACCAUCAGAUGUGCCCAGCUGGGAUUAGCUAGUCGGUGGGGUAACGGCUCACCUAGGCGACGAUCCCUAGCUGGUCUGAGAGGAGGACCGGCCAACUGGGAACUGAGACACGGUCCAGACCCGUACGGGAGGCAGCAGUGGGGAAUAUUGCACAAUGGGCGCAAGCCUGAUGCAGCCAUGCCGCGUGUAUGAAGAAGGCCUUCGGGUUGUAAAGUACUUUCAGCGGGGAGGCGUUACCCGCAGAAGAAGCACCGGCUAACUCCGUGCCAGCCGCCGCGGUAAUAC